UUUUUAUAGAGAUGGGGUCUCACUGUGUUACCCAGUCUGGUCCUGAACGCCUGGGCUCAAGCAAUCCUCCUGUCUCAGCCUCCCAAAGUGUUGGGACUACAGACGCGUGCGGCCUACAAAGUUUUAUCAGAUAUAUGUAUUGUGAAUAUUUUCUCCCAGUUUGUGACUUGCCUUUUCAUUUCUUUAGGGCACAAAUAGUUUACGUUUCAUGGAGGCAAGUCCUGGGCAACAUGCUUUAAGUGCAUUGUUCACUUAAUUUUCAUGAUGUCCUUGGAAGUCAGAAGCUUCCCCAUUUAGAUAUGAGGAAACUGAGGCACGGAGGGGUGCAUCAUCUCUCCAAGGACACACUCCGGUGGAUGUAGGAACUGGGUUAGACAUGAGGACACACUCUGGUGGAUGUAGGACCUUGGGUUAGACAUGAGGACACACUCCGGUGGAUGUAGGAACUGGGUUAGACAUGAGGAAACUGAGGCACAGAGGGGUGCAUCAUCUCUCCGAGGACACACUCCGGUAGAUGUAGGAACUAGGUCUCUGCCUCCAUUUGCAGAUGGUCAUGCAGAGGGGGUCUCAGGCGAGUGUCUGGCACAGGCAGUGGCUGGGGUCUGGUGGCCCCCAGUUCUGGUACUGGGCUGGUUGUGGGCUUUUCCACCAGCGAUGGGACAGGACAAGACUGCAAAGGGAGCGCCCUGCCUCCUCCUCCCACGUCUGGGCUCUGACAGGCCAGAGGACGGGCAGACCCACGGCUCGUGGCUCACUCCAGCUAGCAGCGGUCACUCUGCAGGCCUCUGCUCAGGCCCCUUCUCAGCUCUUGGUGUCUUGGGCUGCUGCACUGAAUCUCAGAUGUUAUUUCAUGAACCCAAAGAGUUGUUGUCUCGGCUUGUCUUGCGCAGUGAAAAGCGCGUGUUUUACGUGUCCAGUUGCUCUUAAUAGCAGAUGCCUGCCCUGGACACCAGUGGCAGCAUGUGCCCUCUGAGCAGCAGCCUUCAGCUUCCCAGGAACACGGGGCUCUUCCUGUCCAGCCUCCUGGGGGCUGGUCUCAGCCCUGACUGGCCAGCAGACACAGGGUCAUCUCAGAGUUACCCAGCUAGGGACUCGCAGCCAGUUGCUGGUUGGCAGUUGGAGAGUGGAGUUUAAGCCCUCUCCUUGACGUAGAGAGGAUUUGGGGCCUGUUACGUGAGUAUUUAGCAAUGCUGCCCAAGCUCUGACACCAUGCUUAUGCGUUCUUGGAUUUCAGGCGAGCCCACACCUUAACCGUGCUCUUCAUCCUCACCUGUACGCUUGGCUACGUGACGCUGCUGGAGGAAACACCUCAGGACACGGCCUACAACACCAAGAGAGGUAUUGUGGCCAGUAUUUUGGUUUUCUUAUGUUUUGGAGUCACACAAGCCAAAGACGGGCCAUUUUCCAGACCUCAUCCAGCUUACUGGAGGUUUUGGCUCUGCGUGAGUGUGGUCUACGAGCUGUUUCUCAUCUUUAUACUCUUCCAGACUGUCCAGGACGGCCGGCAGUUUCUAAAGUAUGUUGACCCCAAGCUGGGAGUCCCACUGCCAGAGAGAGACUACGGGGGAAACUGCCUCAUCUACGACCCAGACAAUGAGACUGACCCCUUUCACAACAUCUGGGACAAGUUGGAUGGCUUUGUUCCCGCACACUUUCUUGGCUGGUACCUGAAGACCCUGAUGAUCCGAGACUGGUGGAUGUGCAUGAUCAUCAGCGUGAUGUUCGAGUUCCUGGAGUACAGCCUGGAGCACCAGCUGCCCAACUUCAGCGAGUGCUGGUGGGAUCACUGGAUCAUGGACGUGCUCGUCUGCAACGGGCUGGGCAUCUACUGCGGCAUGAAGACCCUUGAGUGGCUGUCCCUGAAGACGUACAAGUGGCAGGGCCUCUGGAACAUUCCGACCUACAAGGGCAAGAUGAAGAGGAUCGCCUUCCAGUUCACGCCGUACAGCUGGGUUCGCUUCGAGUGGAAGCCGGCCUCCAGCCUGCGUCGCUGGCUGGCCGUGUGCGGCAUCAUCCUGGUGGUAAGGCCGGGCUGCCUCGCGACGGCGCGGCGGGCUGGGGGCCAGAGCUGGUGCUCACCCUCUCCUCCCCUAGUUCCUGUUGGCAGAACUGAACACGUUCUACCUGAAGUUUGUGCUGUGGAUGCCCCCGGAGCACUACCUGGUCCUCCUGCGGCUCGUCUUCUUCGUGAACGUGGGUGGCGUGGCCAUGCGCGAGAUCUACGACUUCAUGGAUGACCCGAAGCCCCACAAGAAGCUGGGCCCGCAGGCCUGGCUGGUGGCGGCCAUCACGGCCACGGAGCUGCUCAUCGUGGUGAAGUACGACCCCCACACGCUCACCCUGUCCCUGCCCUUCUACAUCUCCCAGUGCUGGACCCUCGGCUCCGUCCUGGUGCUCACCUGGACCGUCUGGCGCUUCUUCCUGCGGGACAUCACAUUGAGGUACAAGGAGACCCGGUGGCAGAAGUGGCAGAACAAGGAUGACCAGGGCAGCACCGUCGGCAACGGGGACCAGCACCCACCGGGGCUGGACGAAGACCUGCUGGGGCCUGGGGUGGCCGAGGGCGAGGGGGCACCAACUCCAAACUGACCUGGGCCGUGGCUGCCUCGUGAGCCUCCCAGAGCCCAGGCCUCUGUGGCCUCCUCCCGUCUCGUGUGGGCGCUCGUCCACAAACACUCCAUGGCUGAGAGGCAGCGGAUCCAGGCGGCGAUGCUGAGCCACCUCCUCCGAGCCUUCCUUUCAAACAGACCACCCCGGAGGACACGUGGAUGAUGGGGUCAGAGAUCAUCCCUCAAGGGGAUGCUGGAGAGCUGCCCCUCAAGGGGGCCUGGAACCCGGGUGCUGGGGUCAUGCUGCCUCCGUGGCUCCGAGGUGAGGGUCAUCUUCACGAGCAAAGAGAACCAAUAAAGUGACAACGAACGUCUGAGGCUUCCAGCCCUCCCCCCA
rnacentral:sRNA from 1 species